UACGUAGGCAGCGAGCGUUGUUCGGAGUUACUGGGCGUAAAGCGUGCGUAGGCGGUAGUCCAAGUCUGGUGUGAAAUCUCCCGGCUCAACCGGGAGGGUGCGCCGGAAACUGGGCUGCUGGAGUGCGGGAGAGGCAAGCGGAAUUCCAGGUGUAGCGGUGAAAUGCGUAGAUAUCUGGAGGAACACCCGUGGUGCAGACGGCUUGCUGGACCGCGACUGACGCUGAGGCACGAAAGCGUGGGUAGCAAACAGG
rnacentral:rRNA from 1 species